rnacentral:rRNA from 1 species
UAAAGGACGCAGUAUCCUGACUGUGAUAAUGUAGCAUAAUCAUUCGCCAUUUAAUUGAUGGAUAGUAUGAAUGGUUGAACGAAUUCUUCGCUGUCUUAAAAAAAGAAAUAAUGAAAUUUAAAUAAUAGUAAAGAUGCUAUUUAAAAUUGUAAGACGAAAAGACCCUAUAGAGCUUAACUAUAAGUUCUUUUUACCCUAAAGAAUUUAAUUCCAUAAAUAAAGAACUUGGUAGUUUAGUUGGGGCGACUAUCUUCUAAUAUUAACGAAGACAAGCAAAAUUAAUAUAUAAUUUAUUGUAUAACCUAUAAGUUUAACAAUUACUACAGUAGGCAUAAUGACCCGUUUUCAUUUAGUAAUUAAAGAAAACGAUCAAUAAAUAAAAGCUACCUUAGGGAUAACAGGAUAAUUUUGUUUUAGAGAUCACAUCGAAAACAAAGUUUGUC